ACGCGUUGGGAGCUCUCCCAUAUGGUCGACCUGCAGGCGGCCGCGAAUUCACUAGUGAUUAGAGUUUGAUCUGGCUCAGAACGAACGCUGGCGGCAUGCCUAACACAUGCAAGUCGAACGAAGGCUUCGGCCUUAGUGGCGCACGGGUGCGUAACGCGUGGGAAUCUGCCCCUUGGUUCGGAAUAACAGUUAGAAAUGACUGCUAAUACCGGAUGACGACGUAAGUCCAAAGAUUUAUCGCCGAGGGAUGAGCCCGCGUAGGAUUAGCUAGUUGGUGUGGUAAAGGCGCACCAAGGCGACGAUCCUUAGCUGGUCUGAGAGGAUGAUCAGCCACACUGGGACUGAGACACGGCCCAGACUCCUACGGGAGGCAGCAGUGGGGAAUAUUGGACAAUGGGCGAAAGCCUGAUCCAGCAAUGCCGCGUGAGUGAUGAAGGCCUUAGGGUUGUAAAGCUCUUUUACCCGGGAUGAUAAUGACAGUACCGGGAGAAUAAGCUCCGGCUAACUCCGUGCCAGCAGCCGCGGUAAUACGAAUCGAAUUCCCGCGGCCGCCAUGGCGGCCGGGAGCAUG
rnacentral:rRNA from 1 species